GGGGGCGACAUGGCUUCGACGGGGUCGGGGGACUAUCGAUUGCAUGCCGAGAUUCCAGUCAUCUCGUAAAACGCUGGAAAAACAAACAAAUGACAAUGAGCAAUACGCUCUCGCUGCCUAAGUAAGAGGUAGCGCGUUCCUCGGGGAGCGGGACACCAGGAACCCCGCAGGAGCGACGUCAUCUGGUGUCUGGUCCGGAGCCUGGUCUCUUGGCGAUGGACGAGAUCUUGACAGGGACUGGUCUCGCGCUCAGCCGGUCGCCGAGCUAGGCGCGGGGCGAGAUUGAUCGGCGACUAUGCAUGUAGAUGUCGGUAGGGUACCGGCUUCGGACGCGGGUUCGAUUCCCGCCGCCUCCACCA
rnacentral:tmRNA from 1 species